GACAUCUGAAAGUCUUACAGUAAGUCAUAAGUUCGCAGUGCAGUGAAAAUAGUGAAGCAAGAGAGAAAGCCAGUCCAAAAUUUGAGGGACCUACCUGUCGACACUCCAUUUAUAAUUUACUCAGCGAAAAUAGUAAAAAGCAAGUUUGGGGAGGUUGUAUUGCUUGAACUAGAAGAAAGCGUGGUUUUCCUACCGGACAGAGUGACAGAAGACUAUAAGCCAUUUGUACAAGAAUUUUCUAGCCAAAAAUAUUCUCUAGUCUACAAAGGCGCCAUCAAUACUGGAAAGCAACAUCCUGCAUCAUCUUUUGAAGUUAUUGAAAAAUAGAAGCAGUACACCAUCCGGACAACAGUCUAGCUUUAGAGGUACAUCCGCUGUAAACUAACCUCAGCAAAAACUUCAAGCUAGCAACAAUCAUCUGGAACAACAUCAUAGCAUCUCUCUGAA
rnacentral:lncRNA from 1 species